GUACCCUCAAGCUUUGCUUGGUGUUGGGCGUCUUUUGUCUCCAGCUCGCUGGAGACUCGCCUUAAAGUCAUUGGCAGCCGGCCUACUGGUUUCGGAGCGCAGCACAAGUCGCGCUCUUGCCCAGCCAAGGUCAGCGUCCAGCAAGCCUUUUUUCAAA
rnacentral:misc_RNA from 1 species